GGAGUAGCCUUUGGCAAAGGCCAUCAAGAAGAAGCAGGCAGGAGCUCUGAGCUCCAUCAUGUUCAGCCUCCCUAUCAGGGACGCAACUGCCAAAGCUCUUGCUCACUGAAAGGCCGCAGCAUCACAUCAGAGGCUCUCGUGAUGCGUCGUAUUCCAUGUUUGUGUGUUAUUAAUUAGCUCGCAAGCCACUACUUCCAAAGAUCAAAGGAGCUGCGCCAGGACAUGAGGAGCUUGCUUUUAAAAACAUGCCUCUAGCAGCUGUAAGGCAAUGGAGCAACCCACUGCCUUUUUAUAAACGUACGGUCCUUGGUUUGCAUCUCAGCAAACUUGGGAGAGCAGUUCUUCAAUCUCAGAUUCACACAGAAGCUGAUUCUUCUACUGUUCAUCUAGAGUGGAUUCCACUUCCUCAUAUUUCUCUUAGAUCUAGUAAAUCUUUCACUUUUUACUAAAGGUGUAAGUCCAAUUUACUUUUUAUCAGCCUGGGAAAGCAUGCUCACGGGAUUCACACUGCCACAUGCUCAGAAGAAAGAAGCCAGUGCUUAUCCUGCCCUUGCAGGGGCUGCUGAAUCUGUGUACAUUCCAGGAGCAUCCUUCCCAUUGCUCAUUGCCUAAGCCCCUAGCUAAUGUGGGCAUCUGCCCUGUGCCGGGAGCAGUGUCUCAGCCAUGCCUGUGCUGAGGAGUAGAGAGAAGAUUCCUCCUGUCCCAUGCAUGAGCACCCACCCCGAGACCCAGCCUUCUCCCAGAGUGGCAUUUUCAAUAGUUCAGAAGUGAGUGAUGCUCUGGGGGCAACAGAGUCCCAGUGCAGCGCCUGCAGCCUGGAACCUGCAGCCCUGCAGUCCUGAGCUGCAGCCACGUUAUCAACCAGCAGUCUGGGACAAAGCAUGUUUCUUGUGAAGAUGAUUUUCAAGUCUUCACUGAACCAAAAACUUUCAGAUCCUCCUUCAGCUCCUAAGUGCUGUGGUGUGCAUUGCGUGGUGUGAGCGUACAUGAGAACCGGGCAGCAGGGAGACAUUACUCUCCAUCCAACUCUAUCCAUCUCAGCACUGCUCCCCAUUGAGGUGGCUUGUCUGUGUGUAACCUCACGAGCUGCUCUCAAUAUCACCUUAGCUUCCAGGAACUACGCCAUUGAGCGGGUGAGGGAUGUUCCUAGCCCUUCUGCUUCAGUGGCUGCAGCAUGCAAAUUACGGCCCAUCUGUGUGCCCCGUGCUUCAAAAAAAUAAAGAAUACAUCCAUUUCAGGUGCUUGGGCACUUACUCUAAGAAUGUAAAUGUAGACAGCAUGUCUCCGUGGGGAAUGAUGGUGGAAAAAAGAU